GGAGUAGCUAAGCUAAACUCAAAUAGAUUAGCCUAAGCAUGUAGAUCCAAAGAUGGAGAGUUUAUGGACGCGGGUUCAAAUCCCGCCGCCUCCACCA
rnacentral:tRNA from 1 species